UCGUUUGUAGUCCAAUGGUUAGGAUAAUUGCCUUUCAGGUAAUAGACCCGGUUCGACACCCGCAGACACA
rnacentral:tRNA from 1 species